GUUAUAUGGUCAAGCGAAUAAGCGCACACGGUGGAUGCCUAGGCGGUCAGAGGCGAUGAAGGACGUGGUAGCCUGCGAAAAGUGUCGGGGAGCUGGCAACAAGCUUUGAUCCGGCAAUAUCCGAAUGGGGAAACCCACUGCUUCGGCAGUAUCCUGCAGUGAAUUCAUAGCUGCUGGAAGCGAACCCGGUGAACUGAAAUAUCUAAGUAACCGGAGGAAAAGAAAUCAACCGAGAUUCCCUAAGUAGUGACGAGCGAACGGGGAGCAGCCCUUAAGCUGGAAUGGCUUUAGAAAAACAAUCUGGAAAGAUUGGCCAUAGAAGGUGAUAGCCCUGUAUUUAAAAGGGCCACUCCAGUGAAGACGAGUAGGGCGGGGCACGUGAAACCCUGUCUGAAUAUGGGGGGACCAUCCUCCAAGGCUAAAUACUCCUGACCGACCGAUAGUGAACCAGUACCGUGAGGGAAAGG
rnacentral:rRNA from 1 species